GGGUGGAUGAGUGGCGAACGGGUGAGUAAUACGUGAGUAACCUGCCCUUGACUCUGGGAUAAGCCUGGGAAACUGGGUCUAAUACUGGAUAUGACCUCCUGUCGCAUGGUGGGGGGUGGAAAGGGUUUGUACUGGUUGUGGAUGGGCUCACGGCCUAUCAGCUUGUUGGUGGGGUAAUGGCCUACCAAGGCGACGACGGGUAGCCGGCCUGAGAGGGUGACCGGCCACACUGGGACUGAGACACGGCCCAGACUCCUACGGGAGGCAGCAGUGGGGAAUAUUGCACAAUGGGCGCAAGCCUGAUGCAGCGACGCCGCGUGAGGGAUGACGGCCUUCGGGUUGUAAACCUCUUUCAGCACGGAAGAAGCGAAAGUGACGGUACGUGCAGAAGAAGCGCCGGCUAACUACGUGCCAGCAGCCGCGGUAAUACGUAGGGCGCAAGCGUUGUCCGGAAUUAUUGGGCGUAAAGAGCUCGUAGGCGGUUUGUCGCGUCUGCUGUGAAAGCCCGGGGCUUAACCCCGGGUGUGCAGUGGGUACGGGCAGACUUGAGUGCAGUAGGGGAGACUGGAACUCCUGGUGUAGCGGUGAAAUGCGCAGAUAUCAGGAAGAACACCGAUGGCGAAGGCAGGUCUCUGGGCUGUUACUGACGCUGAGGAGCGAAAGCAUGGGGAGCGAACAGGAUUAGAUACCCUGGUAGUCCAUGCCGUAAAC
rnacentral:rRNA from 1 species